CCCCCAGUAACGGCGAGUGAAGCGGGAAGAGCUCAAGCUUAAAAUCUCCAUACUUGUAUGGCGAAUUGUAGUCUAUUGAGGCUGUUGUCAGCAUCGCGAUUGGGGACAAGUCCCUUGGAAAAGGGCAGCAUAGAGGGUGAUACUCCCGUCUCUGCUCCAAUCUGCGGUGUGUACGAUACGCUUUCUUUGAGUCGAGUUGUUUGGGAAUACAGCUCAAAGUAGGUGGUAAAUUCCAUCUAAAGCUAAAUAUUGGUGCGAGACCGAUAGCGAACAAGUACCGUGAGGGAAAGAUGAAAAGAACUUUGAAAAGAGAGUUAAAGAGUACCUGAAACUGUUGAAAGGGAACCGUAUCGUUUCCAGUGUUGUAUCCUGUGCAUAUUUCAUUCGCGGAGUAAUUUGCGGGUGCCCUGUGCAUGGGUGUGACGUCAGGGUCAGUUUGUAUGCUGCGGGAGAUGGUCAGUGAGGAGGUGCGUCACUUCGGUGAAAGUUAUAUCUCGCUGUCUAGUAGCCGUGGUUGAGACUGAGGUGCCUACAACAUGCCUUAAGGUUCCGUGUUGUCUCGUGUUGGUGACUGCUUUGAUAGCUUGCUAUGUCUGUGGUUUAUCAGUGCGAUUGAUGAUGCGGAUAACUUUUGCUGUUCGGGACUCUGGCGAA
rnacentral:rRNA from 1 species